GUCUGUCUGUCUGUCUGUCUGUCUGUCUCUCUCUCUGUCUGUGUCUCUCUGACCAAUGUGUGUGUUUCAAAGUGAGGUGUCUCUGGAGCUCCCAUUCAGAUUGAUGAAUCCUAAACCUGAACCAGCCAAAGAGAGUGAACCAGAGGACAUGGUGUUUGAGGAGUUCAAACGAGUCUACCUGAAGGGCGUCGUCUACGGAGACGACGACGACGAGUCUCCCACUGAGGCCUGAACUACAAAGAUGUCCGCCGAGGACCUGAAGACUGAAUGAUGAGAGACGGACAGAAAGACUGUCCAUCUGUCCGUCUGUCUCAGCAGGACGAAAACAUCAAUGUAGAUUUGUUUAAAAAUGUGACUUUAUAAUUAUUUUAUUGUGAAUAAUGCUUGUUAAUCUGAUAUACUGAAUUUGAUAUAAUUAUUAUAAUGGUAAUGAAAAUAACAAUAAUAUUGUGACUGUAGGUGUCUUUGAAUUCUAUUAAACAUCCAGAUCAUUAA